CCUACGGGUGGCAGCAGUGAGGAAUAUUGGUCAAUGGACGAGAGUCUGAACCAGCCAAGUAGCGUGAAGGAUGACUGCCCUAUGGGUUGUAAACUUCUUUUAUCUGGGAAUAACAUGUUCCACGUGUGCGCUUUUGUAUGUACCCUAUGAUUAAGGAUCGGCUAACGCCGUGCCAGCAGCCGCGGUAAUCCGGAGGGUCCGUGCGUUAUCCGGAUUUAUUGGGUUUAAAGGGAGCGUAGGUGGUUUGUUAAGUCAGUUGUGAAAGUUUGCGGCUCAACCGUAAAAUUGCAGUUGAAACUGGCAGGCUAGAGUACAGUAGAGGUAGGCGGAAUUCGUGGUGUAGCGGUGAAAUGCUUAGAUAUCACGAAGAACUCCGAUUGCGAAGGCAGCACACUGGACUGCAACUGACACUGAGGCUCGAAAGUGUGGGUAUCAAACAGGAUUAGAUACCCCAGUAGUC
rnacentral:rRNA from 1 species